rnacentral:tRNA from 1 species
CGCCGGUCUGGGGGACGUGGUGGUUCCGCCUGCUCGCGGCCGGCGCGGGCGCGUUCGCCGGGUGGCGCCUGAUCCGCUUCCAGCAGCGGCGGC